rnacentral:rRNA from 1 species
UCCUCCCUCUUUCUUCGUGCUUAACACAUGCAAGUCGAACGGAAAGGCCCUGCUUUUGUGGGGUGCUCGAGUGGCGAACGGGUGAGUAACACGUGAGUAACCUGCCCUUGACUUUGGGAUAACUUCAGGAAACUGGGGCUAAUACCGGAUAGGAGCUCCUGCUGCAUGGUGGUGGUUGGAAAGUUUCGGCGGUUGGGGAUGGACUCGCGGCUUAUCAGCUUGUUGGUGGGGUAGUGGCUUACCAAGGCUUUGACGGGUAGCCGGCCUGAGAGGGUGACCGGCCACAUUGGGACUGAGAUACGGCCCAGACUCCUACGGGAGGCAGCAGUGGGGAAUAUUGCACAAUGGGCGGAAGCCUGAUGCAGCAACGCCGCGUGCGGGAUGACGGCCUUCGGGUUGUAAACCGCUUUCGCCUGUGACGAAGCGUGAGUGACGGUAAUGGGUAAAGAAGCACCGGCUAACUACGUG